rnacentral:rRNA from 1 species
GGUGUAGGCGGCUUGUUAAGUCGGAUGUGAAAUCUCCCGGCUAAACUGGGAGGGGUCAUUCGAUACUGGCAGGCUGGAGUGCAGCAGAGGAAAGCGGAAUUCCCGGUGUAGUGGUGAAAUGCGUAGAUAUCGGGAGGAACACUAGUGGCGAAGGCGGCUUUCUGGGCUGUUACUGACGCUGAGGUCCGAAGGCGUGGGGAGCAAACAGGAUCAGACUACCCUGGUAGUCCCACGCAGUAAACUAUGGACACUAGGUAUGGGGAGUAUCGACCCUCUCCGUGCCGAAGCUAACGCUUUAAGUGUCCCGCCUGGGGAGUACGGUCGCAAGACUAAA